GUUCGAUUGUUUGGGUUUUUGUGGUUUUCGUUUCCUUUGCUCUCUCUCCCUGUUACCUCUGUUGGUUUCUGUAGCUGGUGUUCUUUGUUCUCUCAUGUUCUAUCUUGCUCUUCUAUCAAUUUAAAGUUUUCCGGUGAGUUAUUCAAAACUUGCAUGUGGGAGGGGUUUUUUUUUUUUUUUCUUUCCAAAUCGAUGGGUUUUAUUAUCUUCAAUUUUAGAUGUUAAGAAUUGAUUGUUUAUUUUGGUUAGAUAUUUUAUUAACCUUUGUUAUGUGUUCUGAUCAAGGAUUGAAUUGGGUUUUGGAGUUUUAAUUUGAUGAUUUUUUUUAUUCAAAUGUUUAGUUGCAGAAAUUUUAAAUUAGUUUGUGUUCUGGGUUUCAGAUUUGGCGAAAUAUUUUAUUGGCCUGUGUUAUGUGUUCUGAUGAAGGUUUGAACACAGAAAAACAACCACACAGGCCUUGGCCUUUUGCAUUGAGUAUUUUGCUUCUUCUUUUUUUUGGUGCUGUGGUUGUUUGUUUUUUAUUUCAGGAAAUGUUGCUGAUCGAAUUUUAAGGUUUUGUAUAGAAGCUUGCAAGCCCUUUUUUAUUUCGUUUGCAUAUCUAUUUUAUAAUAAUAAUAUUAAUUAAUUUUUGGGGUUUUGUUUCUGUGUUUGGAUUUUUAGUGUGGGUAUAUGAUUUGGUUUUUUAUUUUAUUUUGAGGAAGCAAUGGUCAUCGUUUUUUGCCGCUUUUAUGUGUAGGGUUCCAGCUUCCAGGUGCUUGAGGUUCCUCUCUCUCUCUCUCUCACUUUUUUUAUUCAAAUCAUGAUCGAAUUUCAUUUAUAUGAAUGUUGGAUCUAUAAUCUAUUGCUUUCAACAAAUUGUGCACUUUGUUUACUUCGAUUAAUUUUUUGUGGUUUGAUUUGGUGAAUUUUUGGGAAAAUCCAAGUUCAAUCCCAUUCUGUUUGCAGCAUGCCAGCGAUGAUUUAAAACAUUUUAUGAUGGACAAUCAAUUGGAAACAGCUUCAAAUGGGAAGUUUUCACAAGGGACGCAUGUAAGUGGGGUUAUGCCUGAUGCCAAUGGAGAAUGCUUUUUGAAAUUUCAUUAAGGGAAAUUUUGGGUUUUAUUGAAGAAAUUUUAAACCCAGAAAGCUUGGGUUUCCUGGUGGACUAUGUCAUUUGAGAAACUAUGUACUCAAACGCUCUCAACGAAUACCCUUUUUCUCCCUCUCUCGCAUGAUAAUUGAUGCGGAGUUCCAGACCCAGAGAAGGUGAAAAUCUAGACUUCCCAAACUUGGCCUCCCUUCUCGACUGUGGAGUAUCAACCGGUACACUUGAGCUUCCCAAACUAUGUUGAAAUAUUUGAGAAAUGCUAAGUAAACAAAAGAGAAAAGGAAUUUUAGAGAGAGUGAUAUAAUAGUUGUUAUGUAAUUGUAUGAAUGAAUUAACUAUUCAACAGAGAGAGAGAGUUAAGAAUUUAUACAACAACUAAUCACCUUGCUUAGCUCUCAUGGCACAUACUUAACAGACUAACAAACACUAACAAUCUCUAAACUGAUCUAUUGAGCUGGACCAUUAACCUCUGUUUAUAUCCCAGCCACUCAUUUUUCGACACUUAUCACUAUUUGCAAAAUCUAGAGUUGAAGAAACCCUAUUCUUAAUGAAUAUUAUUUUUUAUUGAUAAUUAAUUGAUGAUUAAUCUAUUCCAUUAUUAUUAUUUUACCGCCAAAUACUUUGAAUAUUCAUUAGCAAAUGAUAUAGGGUUAACUAUUUAAUGAAUACAAUUUUGAUGGUUGAUUGCAUUUCGUCAGUUAUAAAUAUGGUGAAUCCAUUAUUCAAUACUGGCUGAAUAAUCACAAUGCUUUGGCCACUUAUCUUGAAUUCUGUUCAAAUUGAUGAAGUCGCAUGUUUCUUAAAUGGAAACCUGUGUUCUUUGAAUUUGGCUUUUACAAUUGAAGUCAAAUUGACUCUGGCUUGAGCGACAUUUGUAAAUCAGGUGUUCUGAAAAUUACUUUACACACCAUGACCUGCAUUUCUAACUGUUUACUGGUCUAUACUUUAGAGAUAGUGUACAUCAUUUUACUUUUUGUUGUGCAUGUGACUGUGAUCUUGAAUAUUUGAUAUUCUUUGAGAUUUUCAGCAUCCAGGUUUCGAAAAUUCUGAACUUUAUUCUUUUGUUUUUCUUCCUGUUUGAUCAAGAAUUGAGCCAUGGUCCUUUAAACAACAUUUGGGGCAAGCUGUUUUUAUCCCUGCUGGAUGCCCUUUUCACAUCAGGAAUCUUCAAGUAGUUUUCUUUGUAGCUAAAUUAAUAUUUUUGAAGUACCAACUCCGGGUUAUUUAAUGAAAAUGUGAACGGUUUAGAUUGACUAGACAAGUAAUUUAUUUAAAGCAUGUAAUUGUACUUGCAUGUGUAUUAGUUUUAUUUCUUGGUCGUUCAAGGACGUCACAUAGCAAAAGUUAAGUCAUCUAAUACUACAAUGUACAUACAAUACAGAAAGAAGUCUUAAUAUUGGAUGACUUAACAUUCUCUGUUUUUUAUUUUUUAGUUUUUAUUAACCCUGUAUCUUAAAAAAUAGUUAUUUUUGAGUUUUGUAGGCUACUUUUAUCAAUUGUCAAAUGUGACUCAAAAACUAAUCCAAAAGCUUUAAAAAAACUUACUGUUUGAUAAUUUCCUUUCCGAAAUUCUAAUUAUGUUUAAACUUUUGUCAGUCAUUACAUUUUUUGCAAGAACUCUAAAUUCACAUUGUAUUUCAAUAAAUUUUAGACGCUUUGUCUACGCUCUUAAAUUUUUUUACUACAAUGUGUUAAAUAUUUUUAAUUACUAAAUCAAAUUCUCGCUAUUCCAUUUAGUAGAAAAAAAAAAAAACAUUCCAGCAUUAUUCUUAUCAUUCGCAGAUGUGUGCUUCUCAAGCUUUGUUCUAUACAAAUUUUAAUGCACUUAACACUUACUUCAGGAUCAUUGGCAUUGAUCAAAUAAGGUGACCAAAUUCUUAUUAUUGAUCAUUCAAUACCUUCUUUCUUUGCUAAGUUUUUUUCACCCCUCUUAAACUUAUUAACUUUGAUAUGCUUCAAGUUAUUCCUUGGUAUAGAACCUGCCUCAUCUGCUUUCGAAAUAAUCAGAUUUUCUUUUACAUGAUUAUGUGAAUGAUUGAAUUUUUGAAAGAAAUUGAUUUAAAUUUUGUUUUCAUAUUUAGGCGGGCAAGAGAAAAGGAAUUGACAAAGUAGAAAGCUUUAGAGAAAGCUAGAAAGCUUCAGGUAAAAAAAUUGCAUGUUGCAAAGGAAAAACCACCCCAGCGCACACUCGGAAAUAGCUAGAGGUAUUGGUAAACCUCACUUUGUAUAUACAUGCUUUACAAUUCGUGGAAAUCCACAUGACUCCUGAAAAUGAUAGUAGCAAAUAUGAGGUAAAGGGACUUAAUAUUUUAUUAACAUGCUUCUUGCGAUUUUGGAGUUAUGCCAGGAUGGGUAGUUUACCCUUGGGUGUGGGUUGAUGAUUGUACACACAUUACAUUUAUGUUACGAUAAUUAUAAAUAACAUCUUGUUUCGUGGAUGAAUUUAUUUCUACUGUUCAUUUAGACAUUGAAGCUGAUGCAACUCUAAAAUUAACUUCUUGAUAGACUAGAAGUAGAUAUCUGUUUUUUAUUCUCCACACUUCUGUCUAACUUCUUCUUGAGUGAUAGUUUAGUUAAUUUCUUUUUACUUUCUUGCAAGUUUGAUGGGAAUUUUUAGCUAUCUGCAAUAAUGAGAAUGCAAAGUAAUAGGUUUGUCAUCUUUUGAUUUAUAUUAAUUUUUUAUUAUUUUGUAGAUUAAUAAUUAUGCGAUUGAUUAUAUUUUAUUGUGUUAAUGUGUAGUGUAGAUAAUUUUAGCCAACAUUAUAGAAUCCAUUUUCUGUUGAAAAAUUUGAAUGUUCUGUGAUGGAAAAGGUUAUGAUAAACUGCAAGGUAGAAAUUCUGUUAUGAGUUCUUCAACUAAUUUGGAGCAUGUUUCUUUACGAUGUUUAAUUUCAUCUGGAAACAAAUAGUGUUUAGAAUCACCAAGUGGUACAAAAAAGUAUUUUAAAUUGUUUUUUAACCAAUCUAUUGCCAACUUUUCCAACGGGUUUCUUAUUUUAUUCUCCAUUAUUUUGCAAGAAACCAAAGCCUUUCCAUGCUCGAGGGUUAUUGUGUGCGUAAGAAUUAAUCUGUUUUGUUUGAUCAUUAUGUUACAAUACUAUAUGUGGUUGCAAAUUUGAAAAAUGUAGGGAGACAGAUCAGUUAUGAACAAAUUAGCAUGGUUCAUCCUAAUGAUAUAUAAGUUAGGUGGCUGAUUUGUUUCCUCAUUUCUUCAUUGGUGAUUUGUGUUUUCAGUGACUUUCCAUUCGUGGGUAAUAAGUUUUUGUCAAGAGUUAAUGUGUUCAGUUCUUUUUCUUUUUUAAUUUCUGUUAUGUGUGGUUCUGUGUCAUGUGGUUGGAGUGUGAUGUGAUUAAAGGUUCCAAAAGAGAAACAUUACUUCUUUUAUUUGGUCAGAGGAGGGGGGAGGAAGUUCUGUUCAAUUUUGGUUUUUCCAAUGGCUUAGGAAGAAAUUAUGUCACUAUUGAUAUUGCAGGUGGACAACUUGCAGAAAUUACAAGGUAUGCUACAAUCUGUACUUCUUCGGUAGAUUUGAUUCAAAUUGAUAGAUUUCGGUGAGAAAGAAACUUUUAUCUUUUCUUUCAGUUAAGGACUCUUAGGACUUCAAAUUUGUAAAAGAUGUGAAUAUUAGAACAAUGGCAAUAGAACCGCCAAUCCAUAUGCUUGUAAAUAGAUUUCAACAUAUAUCUAAAUACUAUUGCA